ACAGUGGUUUCCAACCACACCCGGGGCUAGAGGCCGCUCCAUAGACCAAGGACAUCCGUGGGGGUCCCAGGGUCCCAGCCAGGGGUGGGCGGGCUCCUGAGUGAAACUCGGGUGGUCCUGGAAAGAGGGGGCGAGACCCUCCGUGUAUCUGGAGUCUGUGCCCCAAGGCCCCACGUGGGGACUGGGAACGAAGAGAGAGGAUGCUGUCGGGGGCUCAGCCUCCUCACACCUGCCCGGGCACCAGGCACGGCCUUCAGGCCUCCGGGACGGUCCUGGUGGGGCUCGGCCCCCCUCGUCCUGCGCCUCCUCUGGGCCCGCGGGUCCCCAGCUCCCCCAGCCCCGCCGCGGGCCGCACCUCUCUGGACGGCGCUGUCAGGAGUAGGAGUUCAGCCCCAGCGCAUCCGCGCCAGGACCCGGGCUCUGUGGCCACUGAGUGCAGAACACGCCGAGCUUCGGAGGUCUGGGAGUUCCAAGUGGAAUUUGAAUUUUUAAUCUAAUUGUCUGAUUCGUGAACUCGGAAGCUGACGUCACGCCCAGACGUCCCAAGGUAUGAGCUGUAGAUACGCACGUGAGCGCUGGUGGGAGACGCCAGGCUGGGAUUUCCGCUCGAUCUGGGAAUGAGCAAUGCAACCUAAUGACACCCAGAGCUCCUGAAUCACCCGAGGAAAAUGACGAGAGACUCCCUCCGGUGGGAACGUCUCCUAGAAACAAGGCCUAAGAUGGGGCGACAACAGCCCCACAGCUGUGUCCAGAUGCAGGGAGCACUCGCCUGUGCUGUAAGUCUGUCCCACAGUGGAGAAAAGGCUCAGACCCCACGGCUCUGCUGUCCACCCUCAGUGCGGGGGAGAGGGGGGAUCCAUAUCGGCAGUCAAGGAGCGGGAAUCUGAAAAGGCCAAGGCUGAACCCUGCACAGAACCCAGACCUCCGUGUGCCUCCAGAAACAGCCGAGGCUGGGCCUUCCUUGAGAUACUCUUCAACUUCAAGGCUCUUCUCACCUGAGCUCCUUGGAAGCUGUCCCAGACAGCUGCUGGUCCCUCCUCUGUCCCCACUGUGCAGAGUGUGGCCCCACUGGAGAGACUGUUUUUCCCCCCGUGUAUUGGAGUCAGUCACCCUCACCUGGAAGAAUGGGACUGUUGAAUUGAGGCAUCAUGGGUCACUUCCAUCCCAGAGCGUUUGAUUUGAGUGGUGAGGGACGGCCGGUGUCAUCGUUGGAGCUUCCUAAGAGUCCCAGAGGCUGAUGCACCUCCCAGACUCUCCUCGGCCCGGCUCCCUGGGCCCUGCUCCAGGGGCUUCAUUGCUCCCUGCCCCGGGUCACCCCUCGGCUCACCGUCUCUCAGGUGUGGAAUAUCCUGCUCCAAUCAAAGCCAUGUCACCUGCGUUGUCCAGUGAAACAUCAGUGGACAGGCGCUGCCCGGGCUCCAGGGAGCUCCUCACUGAGGCUCACUCCCUGUGCCUCUGCCAUCAGCACAGGGGGACAUGCCUGGCUGCCUGUGGGACCAGGGAGGACGCGCGGUGCGGGAGCAGAGCCAGCCACACUGCCGCUGCUGCACUGUUCAUCUGAGUGGCGCAAGGGCAAGGAGAGGACCGUGCAUCCUCAGUGACAGUGGUGCCUCACCAUGCUUUAGAGAAGCCUGUCCUUGCCCCCGAGCUGCUCUCCAUGGAGUCCUGUUUGCGCACCGGAGGUCCCUGUGAAGGAGCGUCCAUCAGGUCUGGACGUGCACCUGACCUCGCUGACUGAGAACGUGGUGACUAAGGAACGACGUGCGCAGCAGGCCGGAGGCUGCCUGAUUCUGACGCGUGUUCAUGGAGGCCCGUGUGCAGCGAUGAGCCCCAGCCAGCAUCCGGGUGAUCCCCAGCCAGCAUCCGGGUGAUCCCCAGCCAGCAUCCGGGUAAUCCCCAGCCAGCAUCCGGGUGAUCCCCAGCCAGCAUCCGGGAACUUGGCUUUUGGAACGUUUCCUGAGUGACUGGUUGACCAGGUCGUUUGUGCACUCAGGGAACUAAGCCGUUCCCUACCAGCUGCCUGGACUCUGCAGUGUGAUCAGCGCACGCCUGACUUCUGUCACCACAGUGGCUGCACAGGCAGAGGGUGCCUAUGUGACCAGCCCCCUGUAGAAGCCCCGCACUCGGAGACCUACACGGCCUCCCUGGGAAGCGACACUCUGGAUGUGUUGCUGACUUGGUUGCUGGAGCAAGACGCGUGUUUGGUGGACUCCCCUGGGUCUUUCUCCCCUGCUGAUCUUGCUACGUGGCCUUUCUCUGUAAUAAGCCAUGGAGUCCACUCUCUAAUCACGCAGUGUGUGGUGGCCCCAGGACCCCUGAGACGUGGAGCUGGCAGGGAAGACAGGCAGCUGCCCGAGGCGCUUGAGGCAGAGAAGGAUGGGGAAUAGCCUGGCUCCUCCCCGCCCCCCAUCACCCACCAGGGCCUCUCACUGUCUGAGCUCAGCCUGAGGCUAGCUGACCAGGGGUGUGGGAAGCCCAACUCUACAAAUUCGCAGCAGAUCAGCCCCCAACCCCCACAAAUUCCCAGCAGAUCAGGAAGGGCGGGGCAUGGAUGAAAGGGCAUCAGGGCCACAGGCCCAGGACAGGCACGUGGGUUGCUCUUGGAGGCAUUUGCAGGUACACUAAGAAGCUCCAGGAAGGACACACACACACACAUAUACACACACAUACACAUACAUAUGCACACACAUACAUACACAGACACACACACACACGUACACAGACACACAGACACACAUACACACACACAUUCCCCUGCCCUCCCAUCUCCAGACCUUGCGGUCCCCAUGAGCUUCCCGAUUCCUGGCACUGCCGGGCUGUCCUGAAGGCUCUUUUGGCCAGAAAUGGGCAGGGAUCUGAGAGCACCUGCUGUCGGGUGAGUCCUACUGUACUCAUGUCAGAGAUUAGGACGAGAAGACACAGGAGUGAGCUGGGCUGGAGUCUCAGCUGCAGAUGACAAGGAGAGCACAGUGGAAAGCCUGGCCCACCUCCCCUCCCCACUGGGCCCCUGGGUGGGAUACCACCAUUUCCAGAAUGGGCUGUGGGUUGCGCGGGCUCCUGAGGUUCGCUGAACCGGGGCUCUGAGGGGUCCCCAAAGUGCUUCCUCCCUGUCCUGUGCCCCCACCCCAUGGGGUGGAAGAGCCGCCCACAGGCCUGGGUUCCGCCAUGCACAAGGGAACUGGACCUUGGUGACUAUUCAGGAGGGAGUCUCCGGGCUGCCCUUCCCAUGACCACAUGUCAAUCCCCUUUGGCCCCAAGGGAAUUUCUCAUAACCCUCCCUUGGAGGAGCCCCCUCGGUGCCAGCCCACCCUCAUCACUCUCUCCUGAACCCCCAUGAACAGACUCCGUGGCGCCUCCACCUGCCUUUGUCCCGCCAACCCUCCCUGUCCAGAGCAGCCAUGGGGCCUCUUACAGUUUUAAGUCUGUCUGCAUCACGCGUUUCCUCAGAGUCUCCUCAGGCUGGGUGAGUCCUCGUCCUAAUAGGCCCUGACUGCCUGGCGCUGCCUACCUCUCCUGCCUCAGCAGGAGCUGCCCACACCUGUCCUCAGCCAACCAAGCUCCUAACCGUCGGGGAUCCUGGGACUCGGGCCUGCCUUUGCUGGACACUUCCGUCAGAUUUCUACCUGGCCACGUUCCACUCUUUCUUAAGGAUUCUGCUUAAAAGUCACGUCCUCUAAGGCUCCUCGCUGGCCUUCCCCACCACAUUGAUGUCCAGAUGAAGAAACAAAAGUUCUGAGAGGUCUUCAGGAACUUGUAUAUAAUUACAGAGGUAAUAAGGAUUGGUUGGAAAUGAAACCAAGGGCUACCUCCUGUCCCCAAAGCUCAUGCUCUUAACCCCUUCACCAUGAGUUUCUGGUUCUAUUCCUAGACUCUAGGCAUCAUAUACUCCUGUUAAUACUUUCUGUCUUCAAGCAAGUCCAUUUACAUUUAUAUUAUAAAAGGUUAAAUUGUUCAUGAAUAUAGCUUCUAGAUUCAGACCACCUGGAUUCAAAUUUAGACUCCACAUAUACUGGCUGUGAGAUAUUGCCCAGUGUGCAUAAUCUUGCCAAGGCCUCAAUUUCUUCACUUAUAGUAUAGGGAAGACAGUAUGGCCUACCUAGUGACAAUGGAUGGUUGUGAGGAUUAAACGAGAUAAAUCAUGUAAAGCAUUUGCCUGACUCUUAUUAAGUGUUCAAUAAUACUCUCAUAGAGUGUAAACUCCUUUGAAAUUAGGCAUAAGACUUUAGGUAUAUAAAGAGCCUGAACAGAGAUGUACUUGAAUUCACGUCUUUAUAAAACACAAAAAUUAUUGCAACAAUCUUCAAAUAGUCUUCAAGCCUUCUCCACACAUUGUUGUAAUCUAUGUAAAGGAAAAUAAAAAAAUCUCAGCCAGGAGCGGUGGCUGAAGCCUGUAAUCCCAGCACUUUGGGAGGCCAAGGUGGGCGGAUCACCUGAGGUCAGGAGUUCGAGACCAGUCUGGGCAACAUGGUGAAACCCCGUCUCUACUAAAAAUUCAAAAAAUUAGCCAGACAUGGUGGCAUACACCUAUAAUCCCAGCUACUCUGAAGGCUGAGACAGGAGAAUCACUUGAACCCGGGAGGCAGAGGUUGCAGUGAGCCGAGAUCGCACCACUGCACUACAGGCUAGGCGACAGAAGGAGAUGCUAUCUCAAAAAAAAAAAAAAACAAAAAAAAA
rnacentral:lncRNA from 1 species